GCCAUGAGUGGUGUUUGGUUUGAUACGGGUGGUCGGCUCCCUGCUUGAGCAGGCACGGCUAUGCGUACUUUCCUUUUCAGUUGUGCGGCAAGGCUUGUAUCGCCUUGAUCGUUUAGGCGGGUUUCAUGUGUUGCAUACCUAAUCAAUGGCAUCGUCUUUGAUCAAAAAAAGUCCCUUUUUCGUCGAGCGUUGCACUCGUGACGUUGGACGAACCAAGUAGCAUUCUCUUUGAUCCAUCCUGUCAAUGAGCAUUUGUUGACUAUUUGGCCCAUUGAGGGAUGCUUGGUCUCUUGGAUAUAGAAGCCAAAGUGGGCAUGGGUUCGUAUGAUCCCUUUGUUGCCUAUUUCGUUGAGCGUUCUCGCUUCUCUUAAACGACUGCUUUUCACGUAUGGCAUGUCCCAGCGUGUUUGGCUAUGUCGAAGAGGAAUG
rnacentral:misc_RNA from 1 species